UUGAAAGCCCUGAUGACUCUACCUGCUCGGUAUUUAGGAUCCCCACAGCAAGCUCACCUGGCCCUGGGCAGGUGUAACUCUCCAAGCAAGGACUAGUGUGUUUGGACUUUUAGAAUCCUUCCCCCUCCACAAUUUCUCCUCAGGCAGGAGGCAGCGUGAGCCUUUCCACCUCCAGGUUCCGUGGCUGAGAAGCUGAGAAGCCGAGAAGCCUCUAGCUGGAGCCAAAGCUCACUCUCUCUUCCACCCUUGGGAGACAGCCUCAGGGAGGCCUUGCAGAGUUCAAGCUGGGAGCUGCUGCUCAGCUGCCGCCUGGAGUUUGGCCCUGAACAGGAGUGCGGGGAGCCCAAGGACGGCAACCUUUACACUGGAUCCAGGGAGGGAGCCAAGGACAUCAGAGCCCAGUAGCAGCCACGGCCAUGGCCAUGACCAUGUUCUCCUGCAACCCCUCCCCCUUCUCGGGAGCCUCUCCAGAGUGAGCUCCUAGCAGGGGCUCCGGAUCUCCCCCUGCCUGGGCAUCUGACCCUCAUCUCCUGUUCCCUGACCUUGUGCCAGGGCCUCCCAACUCGCCAGGCACACAUUAACAGAAAUCCCUGUCGAUGACUUCCCACGAAGUGGCCCGUGACUGCCAAACGGCUCGCACAUCUUUUCUGCUUUUAAUGUAAUAUGAACCAAGAGGCUGCCUGCGCUGUAACUCCAACGUGGAGAGAGGAUCUUAGAAAAAUGAGGACCUCGUCUGGACCCAGGUGUCCCUGGCUACGGCCCAGUCUUUGAGGAUUUCCCCGCCUCCCGGUCCCACCUGACCAGCACCUGCUAAUCUUAACUCCCACAAGGUCUUAAUGGAGUUGUGUGUUCUCGCUCCUGGAGUGGGGCUCCAUCUCCAUCUCUGCAGGGCUCGAUGCUCUCGGCCUUCGGCCCAGGAAGCCGCUAUAGAGGAGACAGCAAAUGCAUUGACUUCAGCCAUGGGUUCGGUGAGUGACCUCGGCUGUGACUUAAUUCAGUGCACGCAUCCAACAUCUGCUCAGAACAAUUUUUAAAGAUUCCAAGGUGAAAUAAAUGUGAGAUGGGCUGGUGUAAACACCAAUCUGCAAGUUUAUUUCCUGUACAGCUUCUCAGAGACCUGAACCUGCUGAGAUGUGUUCUCGGGGACAUCCGAGUGGGACACAAGAGCAGCGCUCCCCAAGUGCCUUUGGCCACAGUGUCCCUCUCCAGGGAUGCUUACCGACAUAUCCCUGGAGGCGCUUUGAGAAAUGUUGACCGGAAAACUAUUUACAGAGGAGGAAGUAGAAACCCAGAAAGAGAAAGUGACUGGUAUGAGAUCCACCAUUGCUGGUGCUGGAAGCCGGGUCUGCAUUGCGCUGCUCUGGCUCUACAUGGAGAUGAUGCUCCUAUGCUGCCCUGUGGGCUUGGCACACCCCGCCCCAGCCCAGGGCCCACCCUGUUACACAGAUGCCUGAAAAUGCUGGUGGCUGGGCCAG